AUGUGUGGGGGUCUUGGGGUUCAGAUGAGGAGCAAGAGUGCCUUUCCAGCCAUGACCCUUCCCGAGUCAGUUCGAGGGUGGCAGUCGACCUGGUUCUACUGCCAAGACCAGUCGACUGGCCUCCCCCCGUUCUCCAUGGACCGAGUGAACAAGCCAUCUUCUCUGAAGGUGCUUCCGGAGGAGAAGGCUCAGGUUAGGAUGUUGAUGGAGCGCGGGGUCCAGCUCAUUCGCGACGGAGUGACGGGCAUGGAUCUUCUAGAGGUUUUCCUUCGACGGCGCAUUCAGCCACUUCAGUACCGGGGCCAUCCGAUGUGGUUGUACUCUGGUACUGAAGACACCACUCGGGUCCACCCGGAGGAGGUCGACGAUGUCAGUCUGGAGAGGUGGAUGACCGCCAUCACGGGGAACAGAGAUAAUCCUCGUGGAGCAAGGAGGAUCCCGCCACUCGACCAGUCCUAUGAACCAGGCAAGGUCACAACCGAGAUGUACUUGAUGCCCAACGGGGCGCAAGAACAUGCCGAAGAAGAAGAAGAAGGAAGUGGAGGUGAAAGUCAGGAGGAGUGGGAGUCGGACCACGACGAAGGUGAAGAAGAUGCCGGCUCUGAUGAGGAAGAGGAGGAGGAAGAGGAGGAGGCAGUCGAGCCUCCUCGUACUGAAAGACGGUCCAAGCUCGCCCAUGAUCCUGCAGUCGAGCGAGGCAAGCGAGUCGUGCCUGCUGGGCAGUCGACCAAACGCCCUCGGACGACUUCUCUGGCGCCGACUGAGAAAGCGUCGAAGCAACCCCGAGCGGCACCGACAAAACCAGCGAAGGCUCUACCAAAGAUGAGGAUGGAGAUUCCGACUGUUUCUGGAGCUGCUACUUCUGAGACCUCAGCCAGGCAUGACGAUCAAGAAAUGGAGGAUGCUGCCACUUCCAAUCCUGCUCCACCUAGCAUUAUCAUUGAUCUCCCCGACGACGACGAUGAGGAGCCACUGAGGCAAAGGAAGAAUAGGAAAGCGUCUGCUGGCAAGAUUGCUCAAGUUGCGUCAGCGCCUGAGACAUUGGUUCCGGAGGGGGGCAACGUUGCUCGGGCUACCGUGUCCUUUGCGGUGCCGUUGACGAGUGUCCGCCCUCCGUCGUCGAGUGAUGAUCCACCUUCCCUCUUCUCCACACACCACGUCCCGGAGGACCAAGCAGGUGCUGCCAAGGAAGCCAUACGCCAGGCGGGGGUCAUGAUGGAGCAGGUGAAGGCGAUCCGAGACGCCAGCCAAGCAGCUUAUGAUGCAAGUUCAGCUCUCCAGAGCAAUGUCUAG
rnacentral:rRNA from 1 species